rnacentral:lncRNA from 1 species
UUAACUAUUCGAUGUACCCCUUCACUGACAUCAUAAAGGACUGAUUCAGCUGAAACCAAUUCAUCACAGGGAAGAAUUGAGCUCAAACUGCUGUUGUAGGGAUCUGUCUGGAAAUUUUCUAGUGUAGUACAUGUAUCUCCAGCAAAGCUGCAAAAAUCAUUUUCUAUAAUUAAUUAGAAUCCAAAGUAAAUACAGUUUUGUAAUGAAAUAAAUAUUCUACAUCAGCUAAGAAUUGGUUGAGAAUCAGUGCAUGUAUCUGCAGCAAAGCUGCAAAAAACAUUUUCUAUAAUUAAUUAGAAUCCAAAUUAAAUACAGUUUGAUAAUUAAAUAAAUAUAUAUAUCAGCUAAGAAUUGGUUGAGAAUAGUUUUCAUACUUG